GUGAUCGGCCAGGCAAUCGCCUUGGCCCGAAUAGGGCCGGGGAGGAAAGUCCGAACACCGCAGGGCAAGGUGCCCCGAAAGGAGGUCCCACCAGGACCUUUCAAUCGGGGGUUUCGGGAGCCAUAUCUCCCGGGAACGGAUAGUGUCACAGAAAACAUACCUCCCGGUGUCCGUUGGACAUCGAGAUACGGGUGAAAAGGUGGUGUAAGAGACCACCGCAUCGUUAGCAAUAACGAUGUCCCUCACGGGAUUCAGGCCGGUUCUCCGGUCUGGACAGGACAAACCCCGCCUGGUGCAAGACCGAGUAGGUCACGCAUCGAGUGGCCCGCUUGUCUCCCUCAC
rnacentral:RNase_P_RNA from 1 species